rnacentral:rRNA from 1 species
GACGAACGCUGGCGGCGUGCUUAACACAUGCAAGUCGAACGGAAAGGCCCUGCUUUUGUGGGGUGCUCGAGUGGCGAACGGGUGAGUAACACGUGAGUAACCUGCCCUUGACUUUGGGAUAACUUCAGGAAACUGGGGCUAAUACCGGAUAGGAGCUCCUGCUGCAUGGUGGGGGUUGGAAAGUUUCGGCGGUUGGGGAUGGACUCGCGGCUUAUCAGCUUGUUGGUGGGGUAGUGGCUUACCAAGGCUUUGACGGGUAGCCGGCCUGAGAGGGUGACCGGCCACAUGGGGACUGAGAUACGGCCCAGGCUCCUACGGGAGGCAGCAGUGGGGAAUAUUGCACAAUGGGCGGAAGCCUGAUGCAGCAACGCCGCGUGCGGGAGGACGGCCUUCGGGUUGUAAACCGCUUUCGCCUGUGACGAAGCGUGAGUGACGGUAAUGGUAAAGAAGCACCGGCUAACUACGUG